GUUUGGUGUUGUGAUCGUGAUCACAAUGAAACUGACAAUAUUUUUUUUUGACGCAUCUCCUCGAUGGUGCUUUCAUUGAUGGGGGGUGAUGAAGGUACUCUUCUCCCUCAAUCUUUAUUAAAAUCUACAUACUACAGAGAGAGAAGUUUAGGAGUUAUGUGUGAAACUGAAAUUAUUCAGUCUCAAGCUCCAUCAGUGGGGUGAAGCUC
rnacentral:lncRNA from 1 species